rnacentral:rRNA from 1 species
UCCGUAGGUGAACCUGCGGAGGGAUCAUUACCGAGUUUACAACUCCCAAACCCCUGUGAACAUACCUUAAUGUUGCCUCGGCGGAUCAGCCCGCGCCCCGUAAAACGGGACGGCCCGCCAGAGGACCCAAACUCUAAUGUUUCUUAUUGUAACUUCUGAGUAAAACAAACAAAUAAAUCAAAACUUUCAACAACGGAUCUCUUGGUUCUGGCAUCGAUGAAGAACGCAGCAAAAUGCGAUAAGUAAUGUGAAUUGCAGAAUUCAGUGAAUCAUCGAAUCUUUGAACGCACAUUGCGCCCGCUGGUAUUCCGGCGGGCAUGCCUGUUCGAGCGUCAUUUCAACCCUCAAGCCCCCGGGUUUGGUGUUGGGGAUCGGCUCUGCCUUACGGCGGUGCCGCCCCCGAAAUACAUUGGCGGUCUCGCUGCAGCCUCCAUUGCGUAGUAGCUAACACCUCGCAACUGGAACGCGGCGCGGCCAUGCCGUAAAACCCCAACUUCUGAAUGUUGACCUCGGAUCAGGUA